UCAUCGUAAACAGCGUUUUAUGAGCGUGGGACAGUUUCAUUCCCGCCGUUUCCUUAUCGCCGCACGGAUAUAAAAAUCCAAUAUGGCUACGAAAAUUGCUCGGAAUUGCUGUUAAUUGGAAUAAACAAACACACACUAAUCAUGAAUCACCAAAGUUUAUUAAUUAAAGUUCGGUUUUAAUUCCUUGCAAUCAAAAUGUUUUCAAUUACAUUUUAUGGGGUCGUAGAAGAGCGUUCAAAGUCUUCGAUUCGAUUGAGUUCGUGUUGCCUGUAGAGAAUGUCAAUUGUGGGACCAGUAAACUGCCCAACGGCAAAUGGCGGUACCGAAUCUGUAAUAACCAGCUGCAUCCCGCGUACAGCACGAUCCACAUACUCUCCCAUAAGGGUUUGUACUCCUUGGGGUGGGCACCUUCCAAAAACAUAAGCAAGGUAACUCGGGCACGUCCAGCCGUAGAAUCCCAACGAAGAAAUCUCCUACUGUUAUCAGCCCAACAUCCUGGUUGUAUCACGCCGCCAUUACAAUAAAAGUCCACGUGUCCACAUUGUUCCACCUUGCCUUGGACGAACGCAUUGGUAUGAAUCACAUCAACAAAUUCCGCGU